rnacentral:ribozyme from 1 species
AAACAUUCUCCACUUGGUUGCGAGGAAAACUGUGCCGCCCGGGAAAGCUCAC